CAGCCGCCGCGGUAAUGCGUAGGUGGCAAGCGUUGUCCGGAAUUAUUGGGCGUAAAGGGCUCGCAGGCGGUUUCUUAAGUCUGAUGUGAAAGCCCCCGGCCCAACCGGGGAGGGUCAUUGGAAACUGGGAAACUUGAGUGCAGAAGAGGAGAGUGGAAUUCCACGUGUAGCGGUGAAAUGCGUAGAAAUGUGGAGGAACACCAGUGGCGAAGGCGACUCUCUGGUCUGUAACUGACGCUGAGGAGCGAAAGCGUGGGGAGCGAACAGGAUUAGAUACCCGGGUAGUCCCUGUCUCUUAUAC
rnacentral:rRNA from 1 species